AUUAUUUGAGGUAGCAAAUUUCGUUGCAACCACGCACCCGAUGGGUUAAAAGAGAUGCAGGGGCUGCGACGCCUGCCAAAUAAU
rnacentral:ncRNA from 12 species